rnacentral:rRNA from 1 species
ACUCCUACGGGAGGCAGCAGUGGGGAAUCUUCCGCAAUGGACGCAAGUCUGACGGAGCAACGCCGCGGGAGUGAUGACGGCCUUCGGGUUGUAAAGCUCUUUAAUCGGGACGAAUGGUUCUUGUGUGAAUAGUGCGAGGAAUGACGUACCG